rnacentral:rRNA from 1 species
GUCUACGGCCAUACCACCUGAACGCGCCCGAUCUCGUCUGAUCUCGGAAGCUAAGCUGGGUCGGGCCUGGUUAGUACUUGGAUGGGAGAUUUAGUUUGGCCAAGUCAUCCAGAUGGUGCUGCAGAGC